UACGUAGGGGGCGAGCGUUGUCCGGAAUUACUGGGCGUAAAGAGCUCGUAGGUGGUUUGUCGCGUUGUUCGUGAAAUCUCACGGCUUAACUGUGAGCGUGCGGGCGAUACGGGCAGACUGGAGUACUGCAGGGGAGACUGGAAUUCCUGGUGUAGUGGUGGAAUGCGCAGAUAUCAGGAGGAACACCGGUGGCGAAGGCGGGUCUCUGGGCAGUAACUGACGCUGAGGAGCGAAAGCGUGGGGAGCGAACAGG
rnacentral:rRNA from 1 species